GGGGGGGGGGGGGGGGGGGGGGGGGGGGGGCGGGGCGGGCGGCAGCGCGGGAAGAGCUUGCUCUGGGGGGGGGCGGGUGGCGGGCGGGUGAGGAAUACAUCGGCAUCUACUUUUUCGUGGGGGAUAACGUAGGGAAACUUACGCUAAUACCGCAUCCGACCUACGGGUGAAAGCAGGGGAUCUUCGGACCUUGCGCGAUUGAAUGAGCCGAUGUCGGAUUAGCUAGUUGGCGGGGUCAAGGCCCACCAAGGCGACGAUCCGUAGCUGGUCUGAGAGGAUGAUCAGCCACACUGGAACUGAGACACGGUCCAGACUCCUACGGGAGGCAGCAGUGGGGAAUAUUGGACAAUGGGCGCAAGCCUGAUCCAGCCAUACCGCGUGGGUGAAGAAGGCCUUCGGGUUGUAAAGCCCUUUUGUUGGGAAAGAAAAGCAGCAGGUUAAUACCCCGCUGUUCUGACGGUACCCAAAGAAUAAGCACCGGCUAACUUCGUG
rnacentral:rRNA from 1 species